ACCGCAUGUUUUUAUCAAUAAAUGUAUUACUUAAUAAAAACCCAUUUGAAUUAUUGUUUUUAAUUUUUGUCCAUAAUGUGUUUCCAUACUUAGUAUUAAGAAAGAGCGUUUGUAUAUAUUUAUUACACUAAGGCUUUUCCAUAGUAUAUCCCAUUUUGGUCAAGCAUGCUAUUCAUGCAUGGAUGAACCCAGGUAUUUGAUUGGAUACUCUGGUAAGAACUUUACUACUGAAGUAUUUUUAGACACUUUCAAAAAGAUCCUUGAAUUGAGCAGUGUGUUAACUGAUUCUAGAAUAAUUUAUUGAUUUCUACAGUUUUGACUAUUCUGAAUUAGACCUUAUGGACAUUGGACAAUAUACUAAACAGGUCAGUUUAUUAACAUUUUUAACAUUAUUAAUUAUGAGCAUGCAGUGUGAAAGUUAUGUGAAUGAGAUUUGAGUAAAGAGUUAUUUUUCAUGAGUUUUAUAUAUUUUGUUAAUAAUCAGUCAGACUUACUUUGUGAUAAUUUAUUAUAGCUAUGACUGACUGAGAAGGGAAUACCCGGUUUACAGAUCAGGUUCAUAUACCAUAUAUUUGAACCUUUUGUUUGUUUGUAAACAACACGACCUGAAUAAAUACAUUGGUGAUAUAGAACCCAUCUUACUCUCGUUGUGAUUAAAAUCAAUGUCUACAAAUGGCGCCCACGUAUCCUGGACAUCACCAAUAGCUGCUACGCAGUGACGUAUCCGGGGUGGGAAGUGAUCACGUGCCUGUUGGAUCCGCCACGACAUAGAGCGACAUUAAAUAUCAUCGGGUUCGAACUACAGAAUUUUCCAACCAUCAUGGCUUCUAUUUACAUGUGUCGGUAAAAUUGUUUAAAUUUCUACAUACAGCAAGGAACUUGACUGUGAAUGAACUUUAAGAAAGACAUUUUCUGAACAUUUAACCAUAGUGACAUUGAUCACUUUUGUGAAUUGAACUGUCAGUAUUUAUUUGUCAUUUAAUAUUGAAUUAUGUUUGUGCAUCAUCAAUCAACUGAUCUCUUGACAGUCUUAUAAAAUUUUUACACUUCUGCUUGUCUUGAUACAUGCUAUUUAUUCAUAUGUUUAUUUAUUUAUUUUUGCAUUGACAUCACCUCGAUCGUCACCACCAUUGUUUGUGCCUCCAUUUUGACACUGCUUGAUAUAUAUUUUUGAAGAAAGAGUCACAGAUCAGGAAGUGUGAAAGAUAUUUCAGAUUAACAAGAGGUUAAGCUAUGACUGACUGUGAAGGGAAUACCCGGUUUACAGAUCAGGUUCAUAUACCAUAUAUUUGAACCUUUUGUUUGUUUGUAAACAACACGACCUGAAUAAAUACAUUGGUGAUAUAGAACCCAUCUUACUCUCGUUGUGAUUAAAAUCAACGUCUACAC